rnacentral:lncRNA from 1 species
GUGUCACCUGUGUGUCACCUGUGUGUCACCCCGGGGACAGGGACACGGCCAGGGACAGAGCUGGGGACAAAGGGACAGGGACAGGGUCAGUGUCACCUCCCUGUGUCACCUCCCUGUGUCACCUGUGUGCCACCCCAGGGACAGGGACACGGCUAGGGACAGAGCUGGGGACAAAGGGACAAAGGGACAGGGUCAGUGUCACCUCCCUGUGUCACCUCUGGGGACAGGGACAGGGACACGGCUAGGGACAGCGCUGGGGACAAAGGGACAGGGACAGGGUCAGUGUCACCUGUGUGCCACCUGUGUCACCCUAGGGACAGGGACAGCGCUGGGGACAAAGGGACAGGGACAGGGUCAGUGUCACCUGUGUGCCACCUGUGUCACCCUAGGGACAGGGACAGGGUCAGUGUCACCUCCCUGUGUCACCUCUGGGGCACAGGGACAGGGACACGGCCAGGGACAGUGCUGGGGACAAAGGGACAGGGUCACCUGUGUGUCACCUGUGUGUCACCCCAGGGACAGUGCUGGGGACAAAGGGACAGGGACAGGGUCACCUGUGUGUCACCUGUGUGUCACCUGUGUGUCACCCCGGGGACAGGGACACGGCCAGGGACAGCGCUGGGGACAGGGACAGGGACAGGGUCACCUGUGUGUCACCUGUGUGUCACCCCAGGGACAGGGACACGGCCAGGGACAGAGCUGGGGACAAAGGGACAAAGGGACAGGGUCAGUGUCACCUCCCUGUGUCACCUCCCUGUGUCACCUGUGUGCCACCCCAGGGACAGGGACACGGCUAGGGACAGAGCUGGGGACAAAGGGACAAAGGGACAGGGUCAGUGUCACCUCCCUGUGUCACCCUCUGGGGACAGGGACAGGGACUCGCGGCUAGGGACAGCGGGGCAAAGGGACAGGGACAGGGUCAGUGUCACCUGUGUGCCACCUGUGUCACCCUAGGGACAGGGACAGCGCUGGGGACAAAGGACAGGGACAGGGUCAGUGUCACCUGUGUGCCACCUGUGUCACCC